CCUACGGGUGGCAGCAGUGGGGAAUCUUGCGCAAUGGGCGCAAGCCUGACGCAGCGACGCCGCGUGAGGGAUGAAGGUCUUCGGAUCGUAAAACUCUGUCAGCAGGGAAGAACGGUCACUGUGGUAAUCAGCAGUGCAUUGACGGUACCUGCAAAGGAAGCACCGGCUAACUCCGUGCCAGCAGCCGCGGUAAUACGGAGGGUGCGAGCGUUGGUCGGAUUUACUGGGCGUAAAGCGCUCGUAGGCGGUAUGUCAAGUCAAGGGUGAAAUCCCCGGGCUCAACGUGGGAACUGCCUUGGAAACUGGUAAACUGGAGUGUGGGAGAGGAGAGUGGAAUUCCAGGUGUAGGAGUGAAAUGCGUAGAUAUCUGGAGGAACAGCAGUGGCGAAGGCGACUAUCUGGCACAUAACUGACGCUGAGGAGCGAAAGCGUGGGUAGCAAACAGGAUUAGAUACCCGAGUAGUC
rnacentral:rRNA from 1 species